rnacentral:lncRNA from 1 species
AAAAAAACUAGUAUUUUUAAAAAGAGAGAAAUGAACAAUUUUAUAUAGAAAUCAAACUUACAAUAAAAAGUCUUCUAAGAGCAGCUCCCUGGCGCAGAGCAUCAGGGAGCACAGGGCACAGUGACGAAGGGACCAGCAGGAGGCUUCAAAAUGGGCAGCGAACUCCAGCCAUCAACAGAAUCACAGGCUGGUCGAGCUACAGAUAGUUAAAGGGACCGAGCUACAUUUUCCAACAGGCUUCUCCGGGCACAAGAUCUUCUCCCCCAUGUGGACAAGAGACUCUCUGCUCAGCCAGAGUCACUCAGACCUCACCAGCUGACAGUGUUUGUGCCCCAUCAGCACCAGGUGUCAGGUGGUGGUUCAGUCCUGCUAUUCUGUUGUAAGUUUGAGAUAUUUUCUUGGCUUUAUUGAGACUCCUGUUUUGCUUACUGUAUAUACUCAUUGAAUUAAUUGUAGGCAUCUAUAAGACUAUAAGCCCUUCUAGGUGUUUGCUCGGUAAUUGAAUAAUUCUCACUUUA